UGGCGAACGGGUGAGUAAUACAUCGGAACGUGUCCGCUCGUGGGGGACAACCAGCCGAAAGGUUGGCUAAUACCGCAUGAGUUCUACGGAAGAAAGAGGGGGACCCGCAAGGGCCUCUCGCGAGCGGAGCGGCCGAUGACUGAUUAGCCGGUUGGUGAGGUAACGGCUCACCAAAGCAACGAUCAGUAGCUGGUCUGAGAGGACGACCAGCCACACUGGGACUGAGACACGGCCCAGACUCCUACGGGAGGCAGCAG
rnacentral:rRNA from 1 species